CUUUUGUCUCGCUGAGAUAGCAGGUUUAGUGGGUGGGCGAAGAUGAGCUGCUGCAGUCCUUCGCACCUGUGAGUGAUCAGGAUCAUUAGUGGAGCUUAGAAGGAGCUGGCUGCCGGACAUUCAAUGCCUUAGUGUCAACUUUAGUGGUUAUCUUCUAGAUGCUUCCUGGUCAACCUCCUCUACGAAGCUCAUGCGUCUGACCCACGCUGCUUUAAACAAUAACCUUCUGGAUCUCAGUCCCACGUCCAGAACAGCCAAGGCUCCUUGUUGGCUCCAAUCUGAAAACCGGUCCGCCCUCUAACGAACCGCUCCACACACCGAUCAAUUCAGAAAGUCACCCUAGACUCAGUGCCUCCUCCCAGCCUGGAUCAUUGCCUUCACCAUGGCGCUCCACACCGAAUCGCUGAAGACUUCUAGAUCCAGCUCAAAAUCAACCUUCUACAAUAAACUGUUAAAACCUAA